ACCGUGAAACUGCGAAUGGCUCAUUAAAUCAGUUAUCGUUUAUUUGAUAGUACCUUACUACUUGGAUAACCGUGGUAAUUCUAGAGCUAAUACAUGCUAAAAACCCCAACUUCGGGAGGGGUGUAUUUAUUAGAUAAAAAACCAACGCCCUUCGGGGCUUCUUGGUGAUUCAUGAUAACUUUACGGAUCGCAUGGCCUUGCGCCGGCGACGGUUCAUUCAAAUUUCUGCCCUAUCAACUUUCGAUGGUAAGGUAUUGGCUUACCAUGGUUUCAACGGGUAACGGGGAAUUAGGGUUCGAUUCCGGAGAGGGAGCCUGAGAAACGGCUACCACAUCCAAGGAAGGCAGCAGGCGCGCAAAUUACCCAAUCCCGACACGGGGAGGUAGUGACAAUAAAUACUGAUACAGGGCUCUUUUGGGUCUUGUAAUUGGAAUGAGUACAAUUUAAACCUCUUAACGAGGAACAAUUGGAGGGCAAGUCUGGUGCCAGCAGCCGCGGUAAUUCCAGCUCCAAUAGCGUAUAUUAAAGUUGUUGCAGUUAAAAAGCUCGUAGUUGAAACUUGGGUCUGGCUGGCAGGUCCGCCUCACCGCGUGUACUUGUCCGGCCGGGCCUUCCUUCUGGAGAACCUCAUGCCCUUCACUGGGCGUGUUGGGGACCAGGACUUUUACUUUGAAAAAAUUAGAGUGUUCAAAGCAGGCCUUUGCUCGAAUACGUUAGCAUGGAAUAAUAGAAUAGGACGUGCGGUCCUAUUUUGUUGGUUUCUAGGACCGCCGUAAUGAUUAAUAGGGACAGUCGGGGGCAUCAGUAUUCAAUUGUCAGAGGUGAAAUUCUUGGAUUUAUUGAAGACUAACUACUGCGAAAGCAUUUGCCAAGGAUGUUUUCAUUAAUCAGUGAACGAAAGUUAGGGGAUCGAAGACGAUCAGAUACCGUCGUAGUCUUAACCGUAAACUAUGCCGACUAGGGAUCGGGCGAUGUUCUUUUUCUGACUCGCUCGGCACCUUACGAGAAAUCAAAGUUUUUGG
rnacentral:rRNA from 1 species